UGCAGUCGAACGAUGACUAUCUAGCUUGCUAGAUAUGAUUAGUGGCGGACGGGUGAGUAACAUUUAGGAAUCUGCCUAGUAGUGGGGGAUAGCUCGGGGAAACUCGAAUUAAUACCGCAUACGACCUACGGGUGAAAGGGGGCGCAAGCUCUUGCUAUUAGAUGAGCCUAAAUCAGAUUAGCUAGUUGGUGGGGUAAAGGCCUACCAAGGCGACGAUCUGUAACUGGUCUGAGAGGAUGAUCAGUCACACCGGAACUGAGACACGGUCCGGACUCCUACGGGAGGCAGCAGUGGGGAAUAUUGGACAAUGGGGGCAACCCUGAUCCAGCCAUGCCGCGUGUGUGAAGAAGGCCUUUUGGUUGUAAAGCACUUUAAGCAGGGAGGAGAGGCUAAUGGUUAAUACCCAUUAGAUUAGACGUUACCUGCAGAAUAAGCACCGGCUAACUCUGUGCCAGCAGCCGCGGUAAUACAGAGGGUGCGAGCGUUAAUCGGAAUUACUGGGCGUAAAGCGAGUGUAGGUGGCUCAUUAAGUCACAUGUGAAAUCCCCGGGCUUAACCUGGGAACUGCAUGUGAUACUGGUGGUGCUAGAAUAUGUGAGAGGGAAGUAGAAUUCCAGGUGUAGCGGUGAAAUGCGUAGAGAUCUGGAGGAAUACCGAUGGCGAAGGCAGCUUCCUGGCAUAAUAUUGACACUGAGAUUCGAAAGCGUGGGUAGCAAACAGGAUUAGAUACCCUGGUAGUCCACGCCGUAAACGAUGUCUACUAGCCGUUGGGGUCCUUGAGACUUUAGUGGCGCAGUUAACGCGAUAAGUAGACCGCCUGGGGAGUACGGCCGCAAGGUUAAAACUCAAAUGAAUUGACGGGGGCCCGCACAAGCGGUGGAGCAUGUGGUUUAAUUCGAUGCAACGCGAAGGAACCUUACCUGGGUCUUGACAUA
rnacentral:rRNA from 1 species